rnacentral:rRNA from 1 species
GAAUAUUGGACAAUGGGGGCAACCCUGAUCCAGCAAUGCCGCGUGUGUGAAGAAGGCCUUCGGGUUGUAAAGCACUUUCAGUGGGGACAAACAAGGCGGAGCUAACAUCUCCGUCCCUGAUGGUACCCAAAGAAGAAGCACCGGCUAACUCUGUGCCAUCAGCCGCGGUAAUACAGAGGGUGCAAGCGUUAAUCGGAAUUACUGGGCGUAAAGCGUGCGUAGGUGGUUUGUUAAGUCAGGUGUGAAAUCCCGGGGCUCAACCUCGGAAUUGCGCUUGAUACUGGCGGACUAGAGUGUGGUAGAGGAUAGUGGAAUUCCCGGUGUAGCGGUGAAAUGCGUAGAUAUCGGGAGGAACAUCAGUGGCGAAGGCGGCUAUCUGGACCAACACUGACACUGAGGUACGAAAGCGUGGGUAGCAAACAGG